GUACCAUGUCAGGGACACCUUUCAUCAGAGCAGGUUGCUUAGAGUCCUGUCCAGCCUAGCCUUCCAGGGUUGGAGUGUCCAUCCAGUUUCCCUCACCACCCUCACAGUAAGGAACUUCUUAACAUCUAAUCUAAAUCCCUCCACUUUCAGUUUAAAACUUCUUGUCCUGGUCCUGUCACUAACUGCCUGUGUAAAAAUUCAUUAUUGCUCUUAAAACGCCAUCUUUAGGUAAAAGGGCUCUAAGGUCUCCCAGGAGCUUUUUCUUCUCUAGACUGAUGGUUGCCAACUUUCUCAGCGUGUCUCUUUUGCACAGGUGCUCCAGUCCUGUGAUGACCUUUGCAGACCUCAUCUGGACUCACUCCAGGAGGUUCCUGCCUUUCUUGUGCUGAGGACCCCAGAGCUGGACAUAAAACCCCAGGUGGAGGUCUCAGGAGGUCAGAACAGACCUCCUCAUCCUUCAAUCCUCCUCCUCCUUCCAUCUGCUGACCAGGCUGAGAUGGUAAGAGAUGAGAUGCAUUUGGAGACCAACUGAUUUGAGGCAUGUUUACUUGUGGAGGAGGGAAGAAGCAGGAGGCAGGAGAUGCUCUGGUCAUCGGAGCUGAGAUUCUUCUACAAGCCAUGAUGAGGACUAAUACAACAAAUUGUUUCCCUGUAAUUCAUGAAGUGCAUGCAUGGAUGCAGAGACCCACUCGCUGCCUUUGGGAAAAGGUGUUCACACUGGAGCGCAUGGAUCUGGAGCGCAUGGAUGCUGAAAAGCUGUAUUCUAGUAGGAAACUCAGAGAGAAGAUAGAGAAGGAGAACCCUUGCUUCCAAACUCAUCCUUAAAAACUUACAACAAAUCAUCCUUAAGAAACUACACCCCAUGAACUAAAAUGACCCACGCCAUGUACUUAAAGAAGACUAUUUUGCCCAUGGGAGACACUCACAUUACAGCCAGUUGGAGAGGACUGCUACUCCUAAAUAUUAGAACCAUGUUGGAGAAGUCCAUGGAAAGGACCCUAUGAGGAGACUCUUCUCCUUAGGUGAACUGAAGAAAGAUUCUAGAAGUGACAAACUGACUAAACCCCCAUGUUUUGUCUCCCUCCACUAUCAGUGGGAAGGAAAGUAGGGCUGGGGAGGUGGGGGGGAGGCAUUCUAAUGGUUUAUUUUAGCUCUCAUUAUCCUUUUAUUAUUUUAAUACAUUUUUCUUUAUAC